ACUCCGUCUCAAAAAGAAAAAAAAAAAGGAAGGGAUUUUAUUGCUGUAACCAGAUACAGGGAGAAGGCCAGAGAUAAUUCCACCAGACCAACUCGAAGUGUUACAAUUUUCUUAGUGCUUGUAUAAGUUGGGGUUAUGUGCCUAUGUGCAGUACAGCAUUUGCCUAAGUCUAUUGGUAACUAAUUUUGUUUCAACUAGAAGGUCAGAGGCAAAAAAAUGCUUGCGGGAGACAGGCCCUCGGGGGUGGAGGUCUUUGAUUUCGUACGAGCCUGAUAGAUUUUUCUAAGAUAUGUGUAACACACCAACUUACUGUGACCUGGGAAAGGCUGCUAAGGAUGUCUUCAACAAAGGAUAUGGCUUUGGCAUGGUGGAGAUAGACCUGAAAACCAAGUCUUGUAGUGGAAUGGAAUUUUCUACGUCUGGUCACGCUUACACUGAUACAGGGAAAGCAUCAGGCAACCUAGAAACCGAAUGUAAGGUCUGUAACUAUGGACUCACCUUCACCCAAAAACGGAACACAGACAAUACUCUUGGGACAGAAAUCUCUGGAGAAUAAGUUGGCUGAAGGGUUGAAACUGAGUUUUGAUACCAUAUUGGUACCGAACACGGGAAAGAAGAGUGAGAAAUUGAAGGCCUCCUAUAAAUGGGAUUGUUUUAGUGUUGGCAGUGACGUUGAUAUAGAUUUUUCUGGAUCAACCGUCUAUGGCUGGGCUGUGUUGGUCUUUGAAGGGUGGCUUGUCGGCUGUCAGAUGAGUUUUGACACAGCCAAAUCCAAAUUGUCACAGAAUAAUUUCGCCCCGGGUUACGAGGCUGCAGACUUCCAGCUGCACAUACAUGUGAAGGAUGGCACUGAAUUUGGAGGUUCUAUCUACCAGAAGGUUAAUGAGAUUGAAAUGCCAAUAAACCUUGCUUGGACGGGUGGAAGUAACAACACCCGUUUUGGCAUUGCUGCUAAGUACAAGCUGGACUGUAGAACUUCUCUUUCUGCUAAAGCAAAUAAUGACAGCCUGAUUGGACUGGGUUCUACUCAGACCCUUCGACCCGGAGUCAAGUUGACCCUUUAUCAGCUUUAAUCAAUGGAAAGAACUUCAAUGCAGGAGGUCGCAAGGUUGGCUUAGGAUUUGAACUGGAAGUGUAAUGUGGUUUGAGGAAAGCAUCAGAUUUGUCCCUGGAAGUGAAGAGAAAUGAACCCACCAUGUUUUGGCCUUACAAUUCUUCUGUGAAAUUUCAAAAGUGUGAACUUUUUAUUCUUCCAAAAAAAUUGUAAUCCUCCCAACACUGAAGUCUAGGGGUUACGAGUCCCUCCUGAGGGGAGGCGCUGGAAGGCAUGCCUGGAAGCUGUCAUGUUUGUGCCACGUUUCGGUUCAGUUCCGCAGUGUUAUUAAAUGUGUUCCUCGGCGACAGUGUAGUGUCGUGUCAGAGGAGACGAUCUGACCCUCCAGUUUGUACCUUGUGUCCUGCAUGUUCACACCAUUUUUUUCAUGACUUUGUAAUAUAUUGGUCUCUGUGCUAUUGUGGAAUCUUUGAUUUUGCAUCAGAGUAAAAUAAAAUAAACCGAUCA